CUCCCCUCCAACAAAAAAUAAAAAGAUAAAUUAAAAAAAAAUUCAAUGUACAGUUUCUACCGAAUGCAUUAUCACAGAUAGGAAGA